rnacentral:scRNA from 1 species
GUCGACUUCACAGAGCAACGAACAGUUCCCGCUUUAUGCAGUGGAAGGAUAACGAGUCGGUACCCUCCUAAGUACAAUAACGCCUGAUGGGCUGCUCCAAUUAAACCACCACUUUUGGUUUUUGUUCAAAUUCUGUAUUUUUCUU